rnacentral:rRNA from 1 species
ACGCUCGACACCUACGGGAGACAGCAGUGGGGGAUAUUGCACAAUGGGGGAAACCCUGAUGCAGCAACGCCGCGUGAAGGAAGAAGGUCUUCGGAUUGUAAACUUCUGUCCUCAGGGAAGAUAAUGACGGUACCUGAGGAGGAAGCUCCGGCUAACUACGUGCCAACAGCCGCGGUAAUCUGAGCGGGCUGGCAAGGC